rnacentral:rRNA from 1 species
AGAGUUUGAUCCUGGCUCAGGAUGAACGCUGGCGGCGUGCCUAAUACAUGCAAGUAGAACGCUGAAGCUUGGUGCUUGCACCGAGCGGAUGAGUUGCGAACGGGUGAGUAACGCGUAGGUAACCUGCCUCUUAGCGGGGGAUAACUAUUGGAAACGAUAGCUAAUACCGCAUAAAAGUCGAUAUCGCAUGAUAUUGAUUUGAAAGGUGCAAUUGCAUCACUAAGAGAUGGACCUGCGUUGUAUUAGCUAGUUGGUGAGGUAACGGCUCACCAAGGCGACGAUACAUAGCCGACCUGAGAGGGUGAUCGGCCACACUGGGACUGAGACACGGCCCAGACUCCUACGGGAGGCAGCAGUAGGGAAUCUUCGGCAAUGGGGGCAACCCUGACCGAGCAACGCCGCGUGAGUGAAGAAGGUUUUCGGAUCGUAAAGCUCUGUUGUAAGUCAAGAACGAGUGUGAGAGUGGAAAGUUCACACUGUGACGGUAGCUUACCAGAAAGGGACGGCUAACUACGUGCCAGCAGCCGCGGUAAUACGUAGGUCCCGAGCGUUGUCCGGAUUUAUUGGGCGUAAAGCGAGCGCAGGCGGUUUGAUAAGUCUGAAGUUAAAGGCUGUGGCUCAACCAUAGUUCGCUUUGGAAACUGUCAAACUUGAGUGCAGAAGGGGAGAGUGGAAUUCCAUGUGUAGCGGUGAAAUGCGUAGAUAUAUGGAGGAACACCGGUGGCGAAAGCGGCUCUCUGGUCUGUAACUGACGCUGAGGCUCGAAAGCGUGGGGAGCAAACAGGAUUAGAUACCCUGGUAGUCCACGCC